ACAGACGCAUUCAUCGAGCCACCCACUGCUCCAGCCUGCCGCAGCUGUUCCCUCUGUCUGUCCUCUCUGUUUUGCAGAUGGGGAAACUGAGGCUUAGGUCGGGGAUCUGACAAUUGGGAUUUAAACCCAGGGGCUAUCCAGCCCCAAAGCCCUUCCCACCACACCAGGUGGCCUGUCCUGGGGCCAGCUCUGCACACAGGGCCUGGUGCCCCCUGGGUGCUUGGGAAGUGGCAGGGCAGAGGUGGGCCCUGUGGCUGUUCUGGCUCAGCUUCUAAAACAAGAGCCUCUGCUGGGGGCAGAGGGACCGUGAACCCCUGAAAUGUUAGGCAGAUACCCUGUGGGAGCUUUGUUCUGGGAUGCUAAGAACCGCUUGAGGAUUUAAGCUUUGCCACUUUGGCUCCGGAGCAAGGGCAGAGGGCUGAGCAGUGCAGACGGGCCUGGGGCAGGCAUGGCGGAUUCCAGCGAAGGCCCCCGCACGGGGCCCGGGGAGGUGGCUGAGCUCCCCGGGGAUGAGAGUGGCACCCCAGGUGGGGAGGCUUUUCCU
rnacentral:sRNA from 1 species